rnacentral:rRNA from 1 species
AUUGAACGCUGGCGGCGUGCUUAACACAUGCAAGUCGAGCGGUAACAGGUGUAGCAAUACAUGCUGACGAGCGGCGAACGGGUGAGUAAUGCUUCGGAAUCUUCCUCGUAGUGGGGAACAACCUGGGGAAACGCAGGCUAAUACCGCAUAGGAACUACGGUUGAAAGCAGGGGGUCGCAAGACCUUGCGCUAGGAGAUGAGCCGAAGUCGGGUUAGAUGGUUGGUGGGGUAAAGGCCUACCAAGGCGACGAUCCGUGGCUGGUCAGAGAGGACGAGCUGACACACUGGGAGUGGGACACGGUCCAGAAUCCUACGGGAGGCAGAACUGGGGACUAUUGGAAGUUGGGGGCAACCAAGAUCCAGCGAAGCCGCGUGUGUGAAGAAGGCCUGCGGGUUGUAAAGAACUUUGAGUGCGGAUGAAAAGUUCAGGGCUACCACCGAUGAUUCUUGACCUAACCCAAAGAAAAAGCAGCGGCUAACUCUGUGCCAGCCGCCGCGGUAA